rnacentral:rRNA from 1 species
CCUACGGGGGGCAGCAGUGGGGAAUUUUCCGCAAUGGGCGAAAGCCUGACGGAGCAAUACCGCGUGAGGGAAGACGGCCUAUGGGUUGUAAACCUCUUUUUUCAGGGAGGAACAAAAUGACGUGUACCUGAAGAAUAAGCAUCGGCUAACUCCGUGCCAGCAGCCGCGGUAAGACGGAGGAUGCAAGUGUUAUCCGGAAUCACUGGGCGUAAAGCGUCUGUAGGUGGUUUGUUAAGUCAACUGUUAAAUCUUGAGGCUCAACUUCAAAUCAGCAGUCGAAACUAUCAGACUAGAGUAUAGUAGGGGUAAAGGGAAUUUCCAGUGGAGCGGUGAAAUGCGUAGAUAUUGGAAAGAACACCGAUGGCGAAGGCACUUUACUGGGCUAUUACUAACACUCAGAGACGAAAGCUAGGGUAGCAAAUGGGAUUAGAUACCCCAGUAGUC